ACCUGCCCAUUGAGAUUUAAAAGGCCGCGGUAUUAUGACCGUGCUAAGGUAGCAUAAUCAUUAGUCUUUUAAUUGGAGGCUGGAAUGAAUGGUCGGACAAGAGAUAAGCUGUCUUAAGUAAAAAUAUUGAAUUUAACUUUUAAGUGAAAAGGCUUAAAUUUUCUAGGGGGACGAUAAGACCCUAUAAAACUUUAUAUUUUGAAAUAAUAAUUAAUUUUAUAUGGGAGUUUUAUUUUUAAAUAUUUUAUUGGGGUGAUAAGGAUAAAAUAACAAAUAACUGUCUUUUUUUUAUUACAAUAAUAUUUGAACAGAUGAACCUAGUAAGGGAAAGAAGAUUAAGUUACUUUAGGGAUAACAGCGUAAUUUUUUUUAAGAGUUCUUAUCGACAAGAAAGUUUGCGACCUCGAUGUUGAAUUAAAAGUUCUUUAUAGAGCAGAAACUAUAAAAGAAGGUCUGUUCGACCUUUAAAAUUUUAC
rnacentral:rRNA from 1 species